rnacentral:rRNA from 1 species
GCUUGUCUCAAAGAUUAAGCCAUGCAUGUCUAAGUAUAAGCCUUUAUAUGGUGAGACUGCGAAUGGCUCAUUAAAUCAGUUAUCGUUUAUUUGAUGAUCUCUUACUACUUGGAUAACCGUAGUAAUUCUAGAGCUAAUACAUGCAUCAAACCCCGACUUCUGGAAGGGGUGUAUUUAUUAGAUGGAAACCAAUGCAGGGCAACCUGGAAUAUGGUGAUUCAUAAUAACUCGCGGAUCGGUUUACCGAUGCAUCAUUCAAGUUUCUGCCCUAUCAGCUUUGGAUGGUAGGGUAUUGGCCUACCAUGGCUUUAACGGGUAACGGAGAAUUAGGGUUCGAUUCCGGAGAGGGAGCCUGAGAAAUGGCUACCACAUCCAAGGAAGGCAGCAGG